rnacentral:rRNA from 1 species
CCUACGGGUGGCUGCAGUCGAGGAUCUUCGGCAAUGGGCGCAAGCCUGACCGAGCGACGCCGCGUGUGCGAUGAAGGCCUUCGGGUUGUAAAGCACUGUCGAGGGGGAGGAAAGUCCCGCAAGGGGCCUGACCUAUCCCUGGAGGAAGCACGGGCUAAGUUCGUGCCAGCAGCCGCGGUAAGACGAACCGUGCGAACGUUGUUCGGAAUCACUGGGCUUAAAGGGCGCGUAGGCGGCUCGCCGAGUCCGGGGUGAAAUCUUUCGGCUCAACCGGAAAAGGGCCUCGGAGACUGGCGGGCUGGAGGGAGGUAGGGGCCGCGGGAACUUCCGGUGGAGCGGUGAAAUGCGUUGAUAUCGGAAGGAACGCCGGUGGCGAAAGCGCGCGGCUGGCCCUCUUCUGACGCUGAGGCGCGAAAGCCAGGGGAGCAAACGGGAUUAGA